rnacentral:misc_RNA from 1 species
GGGCCGUAGGGUGGGGGGAGACGUCCGGUGGCCAGCAGCGACGCGGCGGGGGCGAGGGUGGCAGUCGUGCCGGGCACGCGGGCGGGGGUAGGAGGGGUGCAACAAACCCUCUCGCCUCGGCUCGAGUCUACGGAGCACGGAGUUGUGUUCGAAUCAUGGCGACACCCGACCCCGUAGACCCGGCCACCCUAGAGAUUAAGACCCGUAGCAUAGAACAGACACUACUCCCGCUAGUGAAGCAGAUUUCCACGUUAAUCUCUCACAGAGAACGGCCGCUAUGCUCGGAUCGGAGUUUGCGAGCGGUAGCCAGAGUCGGCCAGGCGGUAAAUUUGGCGGUCGAGAGAUUCGUGACCGUCGGCGAAACUAUCGCGGACGACAACCCGGAAAUCAAGCAGGAUAUGUACGAAGCUUGCAAGGAGGCGAGGGUUGCCGGCUCAGCGAUCGAAAAAUUAUGCGAAUGUGCCUUGGAAGACAGUCUGGCUGACCGAGGUUCCGUCGUGAGAGCUGCCAGAUGUCUCCUAGGCUCAGUGACGAAGGUCCUCCUCCUGGCGGACAUCGUCGUGGUCAAUCAAUUGCUCCACGCCAAGGAUAAAGUCGCCCGCAGCCUCGGACGUCUCGAAAGCGUCUCGAACUUCACCGAAUUCGUCAAGGCGUUCAGCCAAUUCGGAGGCGAGAUGGUCGAGUUGGCGCAUUUAACGGGCGAUCGUCAGAAUGAUCUCAAAGACGAGAGGCGACGCGCGCAGAUGGCAGCGGCUCGACAGGUGCUCGAAAGGAGCACCAUGAUGCUCCUCACGUCCAGCAAAACGUGCUUAAGGCAUCCCGAAUGCCCGUCCGCGAAGGAGAACCGAGACACCGUUUUUUGCCAAAUGAGAAGAGCGAUGGAUCUAAUACAUUAUGUCGUCAAGGACGGGGUAUUGGACUGUAGCGAAUCUCAAUCCUACUCAAAUUCACAGAGCCCGCAGCAAGAGGACUGGGACAGUAGUACCGUUUGCUCGGCAUUGAAACACUUCGAGAGGCUCGUUGAAACAACAAGGAUGACCCUGUUGGGACCGGGUUGCCGCGAAACACUUACGUCGGCGUUAGAAACAGUGGUGGAGAGAACGCAGGACUUCACCGACAGCGCCUACACGAGCCACGAGCACAGAGAAAACAUUCUCCUUCUUUGCGAUCGUGCGAAACUCGAGCUCAAUACACUUCUACGGAUUGGUAACAGCAUGAAUUACGAGGGCGGCGGGGGUUCACCGAGCUCCGAAAUGGAACAAGCGGUGAUGGGUGUGUUGCGGGCGACCAGAGAUCUUCGCCAGCAGCUCAGCGCGACGACGAUGGAACAGGCCGGCGAUCUUGGCCAAGUGACAAAAGCCGGUCAGGAGCUCGUGUCAACGAUCAGAAAUCUCGCGUUGGCCAAUGACAUCGACCGUCUACAGGAGAGCAGCGACAGGUUCCACGAGUAUAUCGAACACAUUCUCGAAGUAUGUAAGCUUCUGAGACACGUUGCGCUCUCGGAAUCGUUGCAAGUGUCGGCCAAGUUUACGGAAAUCAAUUUGAGAAUAUAUGGCCCUCAAGUCGUAACGGCCGCGCAUACGCUAGCCAGGCAUCCUACAAGUAAGAUAGCCAAGGAAAAUCUCGAAGUAUUCGCUGAUAUGUGGCAGUGGCUCAUGACUGACGUAACGACAGUGGCAAAAGACGUCCUGGAACUCAGUCAAAAUCGCCCAGAAAAGCAAGUUUACAUGUCCUUGCCGCGGCCAGGAAAACACGGCACGACGAGCAAACCACUGAAACCAGUGCGCUUGGAUAGCGAGGAGCAGGCGAAGAUAGCGAAGGCGGGUCUCGAGAUGAAACUGAUCACUUCGGAGAUGGACGCCGAGACGGAAAAAUGGCAGGAGAGCGGAAGCGCUCUGGAGGAGAACAACGACAUUGUGAAACGGGCAAAGAAUAUGUCAUCGAUGGCAUUCUCGAUGUAUCAGUUCACGCGAGGCGAAGGCGCGCUGAAGACCACCCAGGAUCUGUUCACCCAAGCUGAGUAUUUCGCCGAGGAGGCGAACAGAUUGUACAAGGUUGUGAGACAAUUCAGUUACCAGGUACCAGGUGGACCGCAUAAGAAAGAUCUCCUGGAAAAUCUGGAUCGAGUGCCGACUUACGUUCAGCAACUACAAUUCACCGUGAAGAACCCUACUGUCGGCAAGGCCGCCACAUUUACAAAAGUCGACAAUGUCAUACAAGAAACGAAAAAUCUCAUGAAUGUGAUCUCGAAGGUGGUCACUACGUGUUUCGUCUGCGCCACAAAGCACAAUCUCAUGAUGCCGCAAUACAUGGAGUUCAGCCCGACGAUGGCACCCGGCCAGGCCGAAGAGGAUUGUUUAUACCCAAUUAGCCCGCAGUUAUUACCUUCUACGAGCCCUUACGUGCAACCCCAUCCGCUCACGUCCGCGCAAUUUCACAGUAUCCUGAAACCAUCCCUCGGCCCGAGCUCGUUGUCCCUGUCGCUCUUCGGUCCGUCUAUAAAUCCCGGGCCGGGCCGGAAUUCCGGCUCCUUCGUCCAUCCAUCCGUCCUAUCUACGACGCCCGGAACGCAACAGCCGCCCUACUGCCUGCAGAAUCUGCAGCUCCUGCAGCUGCAGCUGCACCACGCACAGCUGCAGCACUUAAGACACGCGACGCUACCGAGAUAGUAGCGGUAAAUACGUCGUGCCGUAGCACGUGGCACGUGAACACUCGUUCGUGAAAACGUUUCACGCGCACGCACGAACGUACGCACACGUCGAGAACGCUAUACGUUCUUCGUACAGUACAACCUGGAUUUCCGAGGUCUGUCGGCGCGCGGGGCCGGCGGCUCGCCGUACAGGGGCGGAGAGGGCGGGGGAGCUGACGGCGACGGUGGCGGAGUUGGCGCCGACGGCAGCAAGACGGGCUCCGUCCCCGGCAGCGACCCGU